AGUGAACGCUGGCGGUAGGCCUAACACAUGCAAGUCGAACGGCAGCACAGUAAGAGCUUGCUCUUACGGGUGGCGAGUGGCGGACGGGUGAGGAAUACAUCGGAAUCUACUUUUUCGUGGGGGAUAACGUAGGGAAACUUACGCUAAUACCGCAUACGACCUACGGGUGAAAGCAGGGGAUCUUCGGACCUUGCGCGAUUGAAUGAGCCGAUGUCGGAUUAGCUAGUUGGCGGGGUAAAGGCCCACCAAGGCGACGAUCCGUAGCUGGUCUGAGAGGAUGAUCAGCCACCCUGGAACUGGGACACGGUCCAGACUCCUGCGGGAGGCAGCAGUGGGGAAUAUUGGACAAUGGGCGCAAGCCUGAUCCAGCCAUACCGCGUGGGUGAAGAAGGCCUUCGGGUUGUAAAGCCCUUUUGUUGGGAAAGAAAAGCAGCAGGUUAAUACCCCGCUGUUCUGACGGUACCCAAAGAAUAAGCACCGGCUAACUUCGUG
rnacentral:rRNA from 1 species